rnacentral:lncRNA from 1 species
CAUUCCAAAUUUAGAUUCACCAAUAAAUAUUAUUUUUCUCAAAUCAAUGAUCUACCAUUUUACUUCUUUAUUUUUAUUACACACAUUCUUAGGUGAAGAUUUCACAAUAGGAAUAAUUUUAACAAAUUGAUAAUUUUGGAGCAGAUCACAAUUUGAGACUUGGUCUUUCUUUACAAAUACCAACUUGGUCUAAACCACCAGAAAUAUUCAUUGUAUGAUAUACAUUAAUUUUAUGGGAGAAUACUUGCUCAUAUCACUUAUUUCACGUUAGAUGCUCACAUUAUUUGUUAAGUGUUUCAAAAAUAUAAAUGCCAAAAGAGUUUAGAUCUUAUAUUUAAUAAACAAUAGAAUCUCGUAAGAUUGUAAGCUAGAGAGUAAAUUGGUGUUU